CACCUCUUGUUACACAAAAUAUAAGAGGCCCCGCCUGCCCUGUGACAAUAAGUUUAACGGCCGCGGUAUUUUAACCGUGCGAAGGUAGCGUAAUCACUUGUCUUUUAAAUGGAGACCAGUAUGAAUGGCAUCACGAGGGCUUAACUGUCUCCCCUCUCCAGUCAAUGAAAUUGACCUUCCCGUGCAGAGGCGGGAAUAUUAAUAUAAGACGAGAAGACCCUGUGGAGCUUUAGACCUAAAAUAAACCACGUCUAGUAUACUGAAAUACCAGCAAAAGGCUAGUGGUUACAUAUUGAAGUGUCUUUGGUUGGGGCGACCGCGGGGUAAAACACAACCCCCUUGUGGACUGGGGAUAUUAUCCCUAAUACUCAGAGCCUCUACUCCAAGUAACAGAAAUUCUGACUUUCUGAUCCGGUAUUACCGAUCAACGAACCGAGUUACCCCAGGGAUAACAGCGCAAUCCCCUCUCAGAGCCCUUAUCGACGAGGGGGUUUACGACCUCGAUGUUGGAUCAGGACAUCCUAAUGGUGCAGCCGCUAUUAAGGGUUCGUUUGUUCAACGAUUAAAGUCCU
rnacentral:rRNA from 1 species